rnacentral:lncRNA from 1 species
CCCCCCCCCUUUUAGGUCAGUCAGCGGGCCCCACUUAGGAAAAGUUCUGCAUCCGCCCCUGCAAUCCAAAGAAAUAGACGUUUUUUACUGUCAGUCCAUACAUUGAGGUUACCUAUCCAUCACAUUGGUGUCUUGACCAGAUGAUAUAAACCUAUUUGACAGACAUACACAGCUACUUUUGCAUAGGUACUAUUUCUGUACUAAAAAUUUGUAGU